rnacentral:lncRNA from 10 species
CUCAGCCUCCCGAGUAGCUGGGACUACAGGCGACCGCCAUGACGCCCGGCUAAAUUUUUGUGUUUUUAGUAGAGACGGGGUUUCACCGUGUUAGCCAGGAUGGUCUCGAUUUCCUGACCUCGGGAUCCACCCGCCUCGGCCUCCCAAAGUGCUGGGAUUACAGGUGUGAGCCACCGCGCCCGGCAGAUAUAUCUUAUUUUUAAAAUCCACAUUAUUGAGUAAAAUCUCACAGUGGAAGGCAUGAGAUCCUGGCUUUGCCAGGCAAAAUUGGACCUGGAAGUAAGCCAAGUGAGGCUGCAGCAGCGGAGGGUCAACCUUCUGCACAGAGCAGCAGUGGAAGUGGUCAUCUUUGGAGGAAAACAUGGAGGCUGCUGUGUCCAGUUCUGAAUCUGUGAUGGUGGUGUAACAUGGCUAGUACUUCGAAAACUUUGAAGAGCCCUUAGUGAUGCUGUUUGCAGCCCUUCAGUCCUAUUCAACACCUCCAAAGGAAAUGGGAGAUGAAAAAGACAUGGCUUUCUAACAAGGAGAAGACUGAGCUCCAAACAAGUCAUAAUCCUAGAGACAGGUACCUGGGCAAGAGUCUCGCUCUGUUGCCCAGGCUGGAAUGCCAGUGGUGCAAUCUUGGCUCACUGAAACCUCCGCUUCCUGGGUUCAAGUGAUUCUCCUGCCUCUGCUUCCCGAGCAGCUGGGAAUCAAUAUCAUGAAAAUGGCCAUACUGCCCAAGGUAAUUUAUAGAUUCAAUGCCAUCCCCAUCAAGUUACCAAUGACUUUCUUCACAGAAUUGGAAAAAACUACUUUAAAGUUCAUAUGGAACCAAAAAAGAGCCUGCAUUGCCAAGUCAAUCUUAGCCAAAAGAACAAAGCUGGAGGC